AUUGAACGCUGGCGGCAGGCCUAACACAUGCAAGUCGAGCGAGCGGCGGACGGGUGAGUAAUGUAUGGGGACUGCCCGAUAGAGGGGGAUAACUACUGGAAACGGUAGCUAAUACCGCAUACUAUCGGAUAACCCAUAUGGGAGUAGAUGGUAGGUGUGGUAAUGGCUCACCUAGGAGACGAUCCCUAGCUGGUCUGAGAGGAUGAUCAGCCACACUGGGACUGAGACACGGCCCAGACUCCUACGGAGGCAGCAGUGGGGAAUAUUGCUCAAUGGGCGCAAGCCUGAUGCAGCCAUGCCGCGUGUAUGAUGAAGGCCUUCGGGUUGUAAAGUACUUUUGUCAGAGAAGCGGUAUCUGCAGAAUAAGCACCGGCUAACUACGUGCCAGCAGCCGCGGUAAUUC
rnacentral:rRNA from 1 species